GUAUACCAAACAAAUCAAUCAACGAUAUCGAUAUAUAUACAUGAUCGGUAAACAUAUAAGAAAAAAAUAGAUAAGAUGUUAAGCACUAAACCUUUUGUUCCAUCAAGUGGAUCACAUCGAGGAGCUGCGUGCUUUGAUCCAUCAUAUUCGAAAGGACUGGAGAAGAGAAAAAUGGUUUUGCCGAGAGAAAGGAGAUUUUUUUUUUUAAUCUUCAAUGCUCAUUGCAGUCCCCAUCAAUCACCUCUCAUUAUUUAUUAAAACAUCAGUUCUGCUCAUCAAUCGUCAAAUACUAUAUUUUAAACAGUAAUGUACGUCAUUUUAGUUAUUCAUUUUUACGAGAUUAAAUAAUUCGUUCAAGUUAAGUUCUAUUUUGUUAUUUCAUUGACCUAAAAAAUUAGUCGUAUUUCUUAGUAGU
rnacentral:lncRNA from 1 species